rnacentral:rRNA from 1 species
AGGCUUCGACGGGUAGCCGGCCUGAGAGGGUGACCGGCCACACUGGGACUGAGACACGGCCCAGAYUCCUACGGGAGGCAGCAGUGGGGAAUAUUGGACAAUGGGCGAAAGCCUGAUCCAGCAACGCCGCGUGAGGGAUGACGGCCUUCGGGUUGUAAACCUCUUUCAGCGCAGACGAAGCGAAAGUGACGGUAUGCGCAGAAGAAGCACCGGCCAACUACGUGCCAGCAGCCGCGGUAAUACGUAGGGUGCGAGCGUUGUCCGGAAUUAUUGGGCGUAAAGGGCUCGUAGGCGGUCUGUCGCGUCAGGAGUGAAAACUCGGGGCUCAACCCCGAGCCUGCUUCUGAUACGGGCAGACUAGAGGUAUGCAGGGGAGAACGGAAUUCCUGGUGUAGCGGUGAAAUGCGCAGAUAUCAGGAGGAACACCGGUGGCGAAGGCGGUUCUCUGGGCAUUACCUGACGCUGAGGAGCGAAAGUGUGGGGAGCGAACAGGAUUAGAUACCCUGGUAGUCCACACCGUAAACGUUGGGCGCUAGGUGUGGGGCUCAUUCCACGAGUUCCGUGCCGCAGCUAACGCAUUAAGCGCCCCGCCUGGGGAGUACGG